rnacentral:rRNA from 1 species
AUUGAACGCUGGCGGCAGGCCUAACACAUGCAAGUCGAGCGAGCGGCGGACGGGUGAGUAAUGUAUGGGGACUGCCCGAUAGAGGGGGAUAACUACUGGAAACGGUGGCUAAUACCGCAUACUAUCGGAUAACCCAUAUGGGAUUAGCUAGUAGGUAGGGUAACGGCUCACCUAGGCGACGAUCCCUAGCUGGUCUGAGAGGAUGAUCAGCGAAACUGGGACUGUGACACGGCCCCGAAUCCUACGGAGGCAGCAGUGGGGAAUAUUGCACAAUGGGCGCGAGCAUGAUGCAGCCAUGACGCGUGUAUGAAGAAGGCCUUAGGGUUGUAAAGUACUUUCAGCAGGGAGGCGUUACCCGCAGAAGAAGCACCGGCUAACUCCGUGCCAGCAGCCGCGGUAAUUC